UACAGAGGGUGCGAGCGUUGUCCGGAAUUACUGGGCGUAAAGAGCUCGUAGGUGGUUUGUCGCGUUGUUCGUGAAAACUCACAGCUUAACUGUGGGCGUGCGGGCGAUACGGGCAGACUUGAGUACUGCAGGGGAGACUGGAAUUCCUGGUGUAGCGGUGGAAUGCGCAGAUAUCAGGAGGAACACCAAUAGCGAAGGCAGCUCGCUGGGACGUUACUGACACUGAGGCGCGAAAGCGUGGGGAGCGAACAGG
rnacentral:rRNA from 1 species